GCUGGUAAAACCCCAGUGAGGGACCGUUGGGGUCUAUAGAUCGAGUAAAACUUGUAGGUAGAGCUGUUAAUUUAAUAGCCCGCAAGGAAUUCUAAGGCCAAGGGCUCUACAACUAGCUAAGGUGGGUACUCCGGUUAUUGCCUAUGAAAGAGUGUGCCAGCACAUGCGGUCAAACACGAAGGCAAAAUCACUGAAUGUCUGGGGAGACUUAAUUUUGGCAGAGGAUAAACAGGUAGAAUUGUAAUUGUCCCGGUGCCUUGGGUGGCAACGCCUAAAUGUGUCAGAAAUAAUAAGUUUAAACCAGGAUUAGAUACCCUGUUAUUUUAUUACGUAAUCCCAUACCCCAAGUAAUUAAAGAGUUUCCUCUCCUAACUCAAACUAGUCAUGGCGGCCCGUUAUCCAGUCAGAGGUGCAUGUCCCUAAUCGAAGCCGCCCGAAUAUCUUACCUUCCCUGUUAUGUUUUGUACACCGCUGUGUAAGACUGCUAAGAAAAUUUACGGUCUUCUCCUAUGGGGGAAAAGCUCAAGCCAUGGUGCAGAGAAUGGGAAGGGUCGGAUGUGCGCCAGUGAUUGAUUUCACCCAGGAGCUUGAAAUAGAGCGUUCUGUAAAAGAAUUUGAUAGUAAGAGUAAAUCAUUAACUUACUCUGAAUGUGGGACAUAAUGGGUGUACAAAUUGCCCGUCAUUCCGACUCGUCGGACAAGUCGUAACAAAGUUGCCCUACUGGAAAGUGGGACAAG
rnacentral:rRNA from 1 species